UGAUUAUUAUUAUCGUUCUUGUGCAGGGGGACAGUAAAAAUAGAAAAUGGAUCUCCUCCUAGGCCUUUCGAGAUAGAGACACCGUUCAAACACUAAAACGACCGGCUCGGCUUGGAGAUCGCGUAUACUAAUAGGCUUUUCCGUGUCUCUUGUCGUUUUCCCGUUUUUGGCGAUUUUGUGAAAGCCUGGGUCCCCAUUGAAAAUAGUGGUGGAACCUCCAUGAACCAAAGUUCCGCCACUCUAGAGAUUAGAGUGUAGGAGGCUUUUUCGGUCAUAAAACAUCAACACUUUCACCUAGAAGUUUAGUUGACGCGUUGUUAGCGAGCUCUAUGGGAUGUCUCCAAAUUGUGAAAGUUUCAUAUCCCAACUCCCAAUACUUUUUAAAUGGCAGGUUUGUAAAAAAAACAGGCCUGGCUCUAUGGAGAAUCCCAUUCUUUCGAAAAGUGCAUUUUUCAAGAGAUCAGCGCAUGUCCCACACGGAGGUCCAUUUGUGCCUGAACCCUUUAACCUAUAAACUUCAUUCAAAGACUGUUAGAGAGAUCACAAGCAUGACUCCGAUCUGUGAAAAGGACACGUGCCAACUCCUUUUAGUUUUUUUACAACGAUGUUGUAAAGACAAAAAACUCAUUCUCAUUCUGGCCUCUGCUUAGAGGACAAUACUAACUGCCAUUACAGUCAAUCAGAACAGGUGCAGCCAAUAAAGUGUUCCAUGAACCACUUUGUCACUCUCGUCUUCCUACUCACAGCCAUGGCAACGGUUUCCAUGACUACGAAUACACAAGUUAACGCGAGAUUUCACUGGCAACCCACGUCAGUUACAGGCCGACGAAACGACAACACAAGCGGGACUUUUCUAAACAACUGGGUGGAUUUCACUGCAGCUUUCACUCAAUUGACGCCUCAGGACCAGGGCGGCUCCAUGCCUCACGAGGACAACCUUGUGUCCUGCCUCUUCAUUCUCAACCUCCCAUCUUCCUGCUCUUCACACAUGUGCAGACACAGAGACAGUUUCCAGGGGGAGCGCUGAUGACACCAGCAACUUUGGAUCUGAACCUGAUCAACCCAGCACCAACCACUGUGCCUCUCCUCCUCAGCCAACUGCACCACAUGACUCCACCAUAUUCAAAAAGGUACACCACUCCACGUCCUGCGAAGGAUGAGAAGAGCCAACUUCCCCACAUCUGCACUCACCACUUUCUACAGGGGUGCUGUCAUGGCAUUUGAAGUUAGUCCCUACUUGCCAUUCAGGACCUGUACACUUCACACUGUUCCAAGAGGGCAGUCAACAUCAUCACAGAAACACCUCACCUCACCUACCACACAGACUGUUCUCCCUUCUACCAUCAGGGAAGCGCUACCACAGCAUGUGGUGCCGCACAAGCACACUGGGAAACAGCUUCUUUCCACAAGCCAUCAGACUUUUCCACGCACUGAAGAAAACCACAUGAAUAUUUCAAGGACGCUAUCCCAACUCUUCUUUCACCAUGACACUUAGAUUUUAGUCAUUGCACCUUGUAUACAGCAUCUGCACUACUUCAAAUCACCUGCAUUGUACUCCUGCUGCCGUGUUUAUAUGCAAGCGUGCAUGUGUGCAUUUGUGUAAUUAUUGUCAAUUGUUAUGUUAAUCUUCUUAUUGCACACCGUGUGUGUGUGUGUGUGUGUGUGUGUGUGUGUGUGUGUGUGUGUGUGUGUGUGUGUGUGUGUGUGUGUGUGUGUGUGUGUGUGUGUGUGUGUGUGUGUGUGUGUGUGUGUGUGAUCAUUGUCAGUGUCUUAUUUCUAUGUUUAGUUUAACUGCACAUUGGAGACUGGUCAAACACAAUUUCAAACUUUUGUGCUAACCCUGUUCCAUAUGUUUUUGAACAAGUACACUUGACUAUUUUCAUCCUUUUAGUGUAUGUAUACCUUCCGCUGUAGGCAAUACUCUUACUCUGCUUCUCUUUAUGGAUAUGUUCCAUGUAUAUUAUGUAUCCCAUCUGCCUAUGUAGUUUUGUGGGUGUGCAUUUGACAGUACGUGUAAUGCAUUGCAAUGUCUGCUAUGUUGUAGACUGGUAGAAACUUUAAUUCCACAGCUAUCAACACAUCAGACAAAUGAGUGCUGCUCUAACUGUGGUAGUUGAGUGCUGUUCUACUGCUAUUCCACGAUGAGUGUGAGGAGAGGGUGAGGUGACUGUUUAGAAUGUAAGCUUGAAAAUAAAUUGUUAUAUUUCA